rnacentral:rRNA from 1 species
CAGUAGCCGCGGGAAUACGUAGGGUGCAAGCGUUAAUCGGAAUUACUGGGCGUAAAGCGUGCGCAGGCGGUUCGGAAAGAAAGAUGUGAAAUCCCAGGGCUCAACCUUGGAACUGCAUUUUUAACUCCCGAACUAGAGUAUGUCAGAGGGGGGUGGAAUUCCACGUGUAGCAGUGAAAUGCGUAGAUAUGUGGAGGAACACCGAUGGCGAAGGCAGCCCCCUGGGAUAAUACUGACGCUCAUGCACGAAAGCGUGGGGAGCAAACAGGAUUAGAUACCCCAGUAGUCCCUGUCUCUUAUAC